GGGUUGUGAGGUUAAGCGACUAAGCGUACACGGUGGAUGCCCUGGCAGUCAGAGGCGAUGAAGGGCGUGCUAAUCUGCGAUAAGCGCCGGUAAGGUGAUAUGAACCGUUAUAACCGGCGAUACCCGAAUGGGGAAACCCAGUGUGAUUCGUCACACUAUCAUUAACUGAAUCCAUAGGUUAAUGAGGCGAACCGGGGGAACUGAAACAUCUAAGUACCCCGAGGAAAAGAAAUCAACCGAGAUUCCCCCAGUAGCGGCGAGCGAACGGGGAGGAGCCCAGAGCCUGAAUCAGCAUGUGUGUUAGUGGAAGCGUCUGGAAAGGCGCGCGAUACAGGGUGACAGCCCCGUACACAAAAGCGCAUAUGCUGUGAGCUCGAUGAGUAGGGCGGGACACGUGGUAUCCUGUCUGAAUAUGGGGGGACCAUCCUCCAAGGCUAAAUACUCCUGACUGACCGAUAGUGAACCAGUACCGUGAGGGAAAGGCGAAAAGAACCCCGGCGAGGGGAGUGAAAAAGAACCUGAAACCGUGUACGUACAAGCAGUGGGAGCCCCACCACUAAGCCAGUGGUGAACUCCACAUACGCAUCCUUUGCUGAGGAGACGGUUAACGGAGCGAAAGCGACGUUCAACCUCAAAAGAAGCAGAGGGGGCUUAGUGGUGGGGUGACUGCGUACCUUUUGUAUAAUGGGUCAGCGACUUAUAUUCUGUAGCAAGGUUAACUGUAUAGGGGAGCCGGAGGGAAACCGAGUCUUAACCGGGCGUUAAGUUGCAGGGUAUAGACCCGAAACCCGGUGAUCUAGCCAUGGGCAGGUUGAAGGUUGGGUAACACUAACUGGAGGACCGAACCGACUAAUGUUGAAAAAUUAGCGGAUGACCUGUGGCUGGGGGUGAAAGGCCAAUCAAACCGGGAGAUAGCUGGUUCUCCCCGAAAGCUAUUUAGGUAGCGCCUCGUGAAUUCAUCUCCGGGGGUAGAGCACUGUUUCGGCUAGGGGGCCAUCCCGGCUUACCAACCCGAUGCAAACUGCGAAUACCGGAGAAUGUUAUCACGGGAGACACACGGCGGGUGCUAAUGUCCGUCGUGAAGAGGGAAACAACCCAGACCGCCAGCUAAGGUCCCAAAGUCAUGGUUAAGUGGGAAACGAUGUGGGAAGGCCCAGACAGCCAGGAUGUUGGCUUAGAAGCAGCCAUCAUUUAAAGAAAGCGUAAUAGCUCACUGGUCGAGUCGGCCUGCGCGGAAGAUGUAACGGGGCUAAACCAUGCACCGAAGCUGCGGCAGCGACACCGUGUGUUGUUGGGUAGGGGAGCGUUCUGUAAGCCUGUGAAGGUGUGCUGUGAGGCAUGCUGGAGGUAUCAGAAGUGCGAAUGCUGACAUAAGUAACGAUAAAGCGGGUGAAAAGCCCGCUCGCCGGAAGACCAAGGGUUCCUGUCCAACGUUAAUCGGGGCAGGGUGAGUCGACCCCUAAGGCGAGGCCGAAAGGCGUAGUCGAUGGGAAACGGGUUAAUAUUCCCGUACUUGGUGUUACUGCGAAGGGGGGACGGAGAAGGCUAUGUUGGCCGGGCGACGGUUGUCCCGGUUUAAGCGUGUAGGUAUGUGUUCCAGGUAAAUCCGGUUCACUUUAACACUGAGGCGUGACGACGAGGCACUACGGUGCUGAAGCAACAAAUGCCCUGCUUCCAGGAAAAGCCUCUAAGCAUCAGGUAACAUCAAAUCGUACCCCAAACCGACACAGGUGGUCAGGUAGAGAAUACCAAGGCGCUUGAGAGAACUCGGGUGAAGGAACUAGGCAAAAUGGUGCCGUAACUUCGGGAGAAGGCACGCUGACACGUAGGUGAAGUGAUUUACUCACGGAGCUGAAGUCAGCCGAAGAUACCAGCUGGCUGCAACUGUUUAUUAAAAACACAGCACUGUGCAAACACGAAAGUGGACGUAUACGGUGUGACGCCUGCCCGGUGCCGGAAGGUUAAUUGAUGGGGUCAGCGCAAGCGAAGCUCCUGAUCGAAGCCCCGGUAAACGGCGGCCGUAACUAUAACGGUCCUAAGGUAGCGAAAUUCCUUGUCGGGUAAGUUCCGACCUGCACGAAUGGCGUAAUGAUGGCCAGGCUGUCUCCACCCG
rnacentral:rRNA from 1 species